GAUGAACGCUGGCGGCGUGCCUAAUACAUGCAAGUCGAGCGAACAGACGAGGAGCUUGCUCCUCUGACGUUAGCGGCGGACGGGUGAGUAACACGUGGAUAACCUACCUAUAAGACUGGGAUAACUUCGGGAAACCGGAGCUAAUACCGGAUAAUAUAUUGAACCGCAUGGUUCAAUAGUGAAAGACGGUUUUGCUGUCACUUAUAGAUGGAUCCGCGCCGCAUUAGCUAGUUGGUAAGGUAACGGCUUACCAAGGCAACGAUGCGUAGCCGACCUGAGAGGGUGAUCGGCCACACUGGAACUGAGACGCGGUCCAGACUCCUACGGGAGGCAGCAGUAGGGAAUCUUCCGCAAGGGGCGAAAGCCUGACGGAGCAACGCCGCGUGAGUGAUGAAGGUCUUCGGAUCGUAAAACUCUGUUAUUAGGGAAGAACAAAUGUGUAAGUAACUAUGCACGUCUUGACGGUACCUAAUCAGAAAGCCACGGCUAACUACGUG
rnacentral:rRNA from 1 species